GCCCACUUCCUUAAUGAAGAAAUGGGGCACUCAGAGAGGCUUCUGUUCUCCCACAGGGUCCUGCUGGGUUUCAACCUGUAGCCCAAGUGGAAUCACCUUCUAAAGAGACUGCAACCAUAACUACAGGACAGUUACGUACAGGACGGCCCUCCUCUGUUACACACUUGGAUGAAAACUUGACUGCCACGUUGGCCUCAAUUGUUCACAACCAUGCUAAAGCGGAAGCAAACACACCUUGAGAUCUCAGUGCUCCUCGUCUGGACCCCUGCUUAGAUUCAGUGAGCAUUUUAGAGGGACUGGAGCCUGGCUGCCUCAGACCAGGCACCGUGAAGGGGUGAGAAAUGAACCUUUUGUUCCUGUAAAGCUAGAUUCCUGAUGCUCCAGGUGGAGAAAAAUAGCCAUCGCCAACCUCAUGCUAAGAAAAGGCUUAGACCUUGAUUUACCCUCAGUCUUGUGUAGUGAAUUCAUCUUUGUGUUUUAUUUGUUCUUUUUUUUGUACUUAUUAAUACUUGAAUUUAUUGGUGGAACAGCAUGAUGAUACAUAAUAUUCCAAACAUGUAUAAGUGAGACUGCACAAAAUUUCCAUCUGAGACUCUGUGUCUUGAGAAAAUAAAUUAUAAUCAUGUUCUA